GACGAACGCUGGCGGUGUGCUUCACACAUGCAAGUCGAACGAGGUAGCAAUACCUAGUGGCGGACGGGUGAGUAACGCGUGGGAAUCUGCCUUUAGAUGGGGGAUAACGGGUCGAAAGACUCGCUAAUACCGCAUAUGACGAAAGUUGAAAGGAGUAAUCCGUCUAAAGAUGAGCCCGCGUCCGAUUAGCUAGUUGGUAGAGUAAAAGCCUACCAAGGGCGACGAUCGGGUAGCUGGUACUGAGAGGAUGAUCAGCCUACAAUGGGACUGAGACACGGUCCGGACUCCUACGGGAGGCAGCAGUGGGGAAUAUUCGGACAAUGGGCGCAAGCCUGAUCCAGCAAUGCCGCGUGUGUAGAAGAAGGCCUGCGGGUUGUAAAGCACGUUUUGUUCGGGAAGAAAUCAUGUC
rnacentral:rRNA from 1 species